rnacentral:misc_RNA from 1 species
GCAAACUUGGUCAUUUAGAGGAAGUAAAAGUCGUAACAAGGUUUCCGUGGAACAAGUUCUGGGAACCCGCCCCUCGCGGCGGUCGAUCCUUCCGCGUGGCACUUGCCGAAGCCUUAGCAGCCCGAAAGGGUGCGGUUGCCGCGACUGUAAAGAACGAGAGCCGCUUGAAUGCUAGUCUGCGGGUGCAGGCGACACUAUCAAAUUGCGGGGACGCCCUAAAGACUUCGACACCAAGCGUCCGCCGGAAACGGUUCCGUAGGUGAACCUGCGGAAGGAUCAUUAAAGAGAAUGAGCGCUCCUUGAGCCUCGCCCUCUCAAACCACCGCGUACCAAAUCAUCGUAUCUUUGCGGGCCGGGUGCCCCGGCACCCCCCGCGAGGAGCAUCCAAACGAGCGAGUGACUGGCGUCCGAUUUGCAGAGCGAUGAAAGAAACAACUUUCAACAAUGGAUCUCUUGGCUCCGGCAUCGAUGAAGAACGCAGC